GUGCUUGCUUUAGCAGCACAUAUACUAAAAUUGGGAUGGUACGGAGAAAAUUAGCAUGGCCCUUGAGAAAGGACGAUGCACAAAAGUCUCUGUGAUCUUAUCAAUUUGA